rnacentral:rRNA from 1 species
UAAAAACAUGUCUUUUUGAUUAUAAUUUAAGGUUUAAUCUGCUCAAUGAUUAUUUAAAUUGCCGCAGUAUUUUGACUGUGCAAAGGUAGCAUAAUAAUUAGUUUCUUUAUUGGGAACUGGAAUGAAUGAUUGGACGAGAAAAUUUCUGUCUCUUUAUUAUUUUAAUUGAAUUUUACUUUUAAGUUAAAAGGCUUAAAUUUUAUUAGAGGACGAGAAGACCCUAUAGAGUUUAAUUUUUAUUUAAAUAAUUAUUUUUAGUAUUUAUAUAUAUUAUUUAAAUAAAAAUUUAGUUGGGGUGACUAAAAGAUAAGAAUAACUCUUUUAAUUUUUAUCAAUUAUUUUUGAUUAUAAAAUCUUUAUUUUUAAUUUUAAAAUAAAUUACCUUAGGGAUAACAGCGUAAUUCUUUUUUAAAGUUCUUAUUAAAAGAAGAGUUUGCGACCUCGAUGUUGGAUUAAAAUUAAUUUUAGGUGUAGAAGCUUGAAAAUUAAGUCUGUUCGACUUUUAAAAUUUUACAUGAUCUGAGUUUAAACCGGUGUGAGCCAGGUUGGUUUCUAUCCUUAAUUAUAUAUUAUACUUUA